GUUUGCAAUGGCCGUGAGGUGGUAGACUCAACAACAUCGUCGCUUUGAAGAUCCCACACUCCUGCCCUGACAUGGCUGCUCCCGAACCCAGCGUAGACCCUCUUCCAUGGCCAGGAGGAAGUUGGCUGGAGCCUUGCAAUAACACCUACCCCAUGCCUGCCCCCAAAGUCACCUACCCACCUCCUGGAUUCCCCAGCCCUUUAGGCCAGAAGUCAGAGUCCUUAGCUGGGAGUCUCUGCAUUGGCCAGUAACUAUCCUUGUAGCUAUGCCCCGUGUUUGCCAGGCCUGGGAAUCAGAGGGGAGAAAUUCAGUGUCUACCGUGUUUUAGAACAGCGUGGCUGAGGACGACAGGCCCAACCCCCAUGCAAAGGUGCUUCCAGUCCAGCCCCUGCCCCAGGCCUUUUUAAUUUUUUAUAAGUUACUCUGGGUUAGAGAGGAAGGUUAUUGUGGGGACCAGUCCCUCCCUCCUUACCCAGUAGUUUGUCCCGUGGUUUAUUUUGUAUUACCUGUAAAUAAAGUGUCUUUAUUUAAACGUUUUGUUAAAAAAAAUUAUAGACAGGGCCUUAUGUAUACCAAGGUUGCCUCAAACUUACUAUGUAGCUGAGCAUCACAUGAAACUUCUGACCCCCCCUGCCUCCACCUCCAGGGCCUAGAAUUCCAGGUGUGCAUCAUUAUGCCUUGUUCUUAUUCAGGGGGUCUAUGAGUGCUAGGCAAGGCAGUGUGCUACCAACUGAGCUGCAUUUCCAGCACAUGUCUUUUUGUUGUUAAUUAUUAUUGUGUGUGCACGCAACUUAUUUUGUCUAGAUGUAGGCUUUCUUUUUUUGUUUGUCUUUGUUUUUUUGUUGUUGGUGGUAGUGGUAGGUUUUUUUGGGGGGGGAGGUGUGUGGGGGUGUUGAGACAAGGUCUCUUCUACUCUCAUUGUAGCCCUUGGUUGACCUGGAGCUCAUUAUGUGGACCAGGCGAGCCUUAAACUCUACAGAUCCACCCGCCUCUGCCUCCCAAGUACUGGGAUGAAAGGAGUGUAUGUAGGGCUUCUGCACCACAUGCAUGCAGUGCCCACAGAGGCCAGAGGAGGGCGACCAGAUCCCCUAGGUCUGGAGCUACAGUUGGUUGUGAGCUGCCCUGUUGAGGCUGGGAAUUGAAAUCUGAACCCUCUUGGAAAGCAGCAAGUACUCUUACCUCAGUCUUCUGCUGCUCAUUUUGCUAACGUGUGUCAACUCUGGGCUGUGCUCAGCACAGCCACUAAGGCGAACCCAGUGCUACUUCAUCCGGAGGCUGAAGACGUAUCAACUAUCCAUCCUUAAAGGAGCCACUGAAGACUGGUCAGCACCCUCUAGAAUUGUCCACUCUUCUAGGAGACGGUUUUCCUCAGAGACCCAGCCUACGAUAUGGUGUGGGAAGUGGGACACCGACUGUGGGCUUUUCAUGACAGCCUGACUGGAAUUUGGACAAGCCAGAGCCAGGGUGAGUGCUUGGCAAAAGGGAACCAACAAUCAGACAUGGGACUGAAUGUUACCUGUUCACAGGUAAUAUAUGUAGCCAGAAAGGAGCCCACAAGGAAAGGGGUGCAGACAUGCCUGUGGCGAGGCCAUCUGCGGCUGUCAUCAGAAAAGGGUCCUUUCCAGACUCUGAAGGAUUGCUGGCUGUGCCUGCCAUGCCCUGGGCAUCUCCCAUGUGCGUCAUCUGGAGCUCACCAGUAGAGGGCGCCAGGGCUCAGCCUCCGCUUCUGCUCCCAAGGGCAGGGCUCUCAGCAGCCUCCCAAGGCCUAGAGGGCGCUGUGCAGUGAGCUGGAAGCAUAUGGCUGCUGCAGGCAGGGCUUCGGUAACAGGCAGGGACAAAGUCCUGUGUGAGAAAACCAGCCAGAGACAUUGAUUUUUUUUUUUUUUCAAGUGAGCUAAUUGGCAUCAGUGGGCUGGUGAAGUCUCUGGAAAUGUGGGUUAACAAUUUUU
rnacentral:lncRNA from 1 species